CCUACGGGAGGCAGCAGUGAGGAAUAUUGGUCAAUGGGCUAAGGCCUGAACCAGCCAAGUCGCGUGAGGGAAGACGGUCCUAUGGAUUGUAAACCUCUUUUGUCGGGGAGCAAAGAGGCCACGUGUGGCCGAAGCGAGAGUACCCGAAGAAAAAGCAUCGGCUAACUCCGUGCCAGCAGCCGCGGUAAUACGGAGGAUGCGAGCGUUAUCCGGAUUUAUUGGGUUUAAAGGGUGCGCAGGCGGAACAUUAAGUCAGCGGUAAAAUCGAGGGGCUCAACCCCUUUAAGCCGUUGAAACUGGGUAUCUUGAGUGGGCGAGAAGUAUGCGGAAUGCGUGGUGUAGCGGUGAAAUGCAUAGAUAUCACGCAGAACUCCGAUUGCGAAGGCAGCAUACCGGCGCCCGACUGACGCUGAGGCACGAAAGCGUGGGGAUCGAACAGGAUUAGAUACCCUGGUAGUC
rnacentral:rRNA from 1 species